UUCUUGAUCGUAUAACGGUUAGUAUGCUCGCUUGUCACUGCAUUCUGCAUGAUCGCGGGAGAUCGGAGUUCGAUUCUCCGUCAGGAAG